rnacentral:misc_RNA from 1 species
UUUCCUUAGGUGAACCUGUGGAAGGAUCAUUGUCGUGACCCUGACCAAAACAGACCGCGCACGCAUCAUCCAAUCCAUCGGCGAAGGCACCGUCCAUCGCUCGGCCAAGUCCUUGACCACCUCCCCUCCUUGGAGUGGGGGCUCGGUGUAAAAGAACCCACGGCGUUGAAGGCGUCAAGGAACACUUUGCCUAAACCGGGGGCAUGGCUAGCUUGCUAGUCGUCCCCCGUGUUGCAAUCCUAUUUAAUCCACUUGACUCUCGGCAAUGGAUAUCUUGGCUCUC